AUGAAAAACAAAAUCUUAACAGAAAUUACAUUGAAGUCUGCUAUAGCAAAUAAAAAUGCAAAUAUGUUACUAAGUAUAGACAAGAUGGUAAAAUAUACUUACAUAAUAAUAUUUUUUAUUUAUUCUUUUGAGACAGGGUUCAGCCUGGCCUUGAACUCACUAUGCAGCCCAGGCUGGCCUCAAACUCACAGCAAUCCUCCUGCAUCAGCCUCUCCAGCGCUGGGAUUACAGGUGAGUGCUGGGAUUAUAGGCAUGAGCCACCUGCCUGGAGGUUACCUCCUUUUAAACAGCAGAUUUGACUAAAAAGAAUUAUGCUUGUCAAAUAUUCCUUCUCAUUUUCGGAGUUCUCUAAUGGCAAUGACACAACUUUCUCAUUCUUCCACUCCCUUCACCUCUUUUGUCAAAUCAAUAUUUGGGCAUCAGUAACAAAACAAUGAUUUCGGUCUAAAGGAAACAACCCAGGCAACUAACACCAGGAUGGUAGCCUUCAGAGUUCAAAAUACAAAUUUUUAUCCAUUAAGAUGAAAACAGGAAAACUACCUAAAUUUAAAUACUAUAACAAAAAACAACAAAAUAUCAUAAUACACAUGGCCAAAACAUGUUACAUACACCUGCUAACCUCACCCUACCCACUUCAGCCAUUAACCAAAGGGAGGGGGAAAAACCAAAUCUAGCAGGAAAGGCAAUACAAAGCUAUUAAUGAAUAAACUGGAAUUUAUUUUAUAAAUGCUAAAAUCAUUUCUCAAAAGUGAAGACAAAGUUUCUAAUCAACACUAAAUUACUGCAUAUAAAAUAACUAGUUAUUACAAAAUAACUUCAAGCUUCACAUGACUAAAAUGUAGUAAAACAGGUGUUGAAUUCAAAGUCCUAAAGUGAACUUUAUACAGAAAAAGAAAUGUAUACGUGUAAGCUACUGAGAACUAUUCCAGGGAGAGUGUGAUUUGGAUCUGGUUAUAUUUUUGACCUUGCAAGUGAUCAAUUUUUGUACAAUUAGAAAGGAUCCAGUGCUUUUUUGUAGUGUGAAUACAGGCAAACUCUGGUAAGUCUCCAAAAAAUUUGAUUAGAAGUUGGAGUGCUGAAGCAACAGCAUUUUGAAACAAUUCUUAAAAUAAACUCGUUAGCCACAUCAGCUUCAUGCAUUAAAUUUCACAACUCAUGGAGAGAGAAAAAAGGUCUUGCUUAACUCUAAACACAAGUUUUAAAAAAGAGCUUUAAUGAACUGAGGUUUCCAGACCAGUGAAAGCCUUAUGCUGAAACAAUUCAGUUCCAUCCUUGGCUAACAACUAGAUUCUAUUACCUAGCUGACUUGGGCCUGAAGUGUCCUGGAGAAAAUAUUUUUAACACUUCUCCCUUUAUAGAACGCUUUAAAUAUAAAUUUAAAGCUUUGCCCAUAUAGAUCAAAUUCAACUUAAUGAAUAUAUAAGCAAACCUAGGUGGAAGAUAGAGCAAAGG
rnacentral:lncRNA from 1 species